rnacentral:tRNA from 1 species
AAAAAUUUAGUUAAACUAAUAACGUUAGCUUGUCAAGCUAGAAUUAUUCAAUUAAACCUAAUAGUUUUUA